rnacentral:lncRNA from 1 species
ACAUAUAUUUGGCAACACAAUUAUCCAUCACAUGCUCUCAUGCAAAGUAUGAUUUUAUGCUUGAGUUGUUAUCAGCAUAAUAAAAUCACGCAUCCCCAUGCACCACAACAAACAUCACACAUCUUAAGACAGAUUGGAGUUCAAGAUGCUUGCCUUUGGAGUUGAGGAGGGUGGUAUGCACCCCCAAAAUCUUGAAGGAAGUUUCCUCUCUCCAAAUUCCUAUUUUGAAAAUAUUUAAAUUAACACACAAUUUUAAAACAGCACAUAAAAGUUGUUUGAAUAUUUUUUAAAUAAAUCUUAAAAAAAAUAGAGGAAAUUUUAGAGAGGUGGGAAAAAGAAUAAAUUCAUUUGGAGUUUUAUUUAAAAAGUUGUGGCUAGUCAAAUAUUCUGGUCAAACCUGAUUUUUAAACCAAUUAUAAAAGAAAACACUUCGGCCAGGAACACGCUUCCGAGCAGAGAACGCGUACUUACUGAAACAGUACGAUAAACUAUGCUUUAUUGAAAGGGAAACACAUCAGGAGGGGUGCGCCACUCGGGGGCUUAGUUGGCUCAUCGACAGGUAGGGGCCACCUGUCGGGUUUGUCCUGUACCUCCCGUGGCAGAACCAGGGCGGCGCUCCGGUGCUCCUCGCUGGUGACUAGCUGCAGCUCUCGUGCGCUGAGGCACAGGAAUGGAUCUAGGGGGUCCUGGCGAUCCUCCUGGUAGUCUCCACGGGCGUGCAGGUGGAGGGACUUGCCGGUGACGCAGGCUCCGGCGGACGGUAGCGUCGGCUUCUGAGAGGGCUCUGCAUUCGGUGGUCCUUGGCACUCGUGGCUACGGGGAAAAUGUCCUACUGGCCGCCAGGGUCCGAAUGAGGAGAAGUCUGGCGCGGGGAGGCACUAGCUACGACGGAUUUCACCCGGAGCUCUCCCGCGGUUGCGGUGGCCGGAGACGGAAAAGACGACCAGCAGGGUCAAAUUGCCUUCCUGGGAGGCUCACUACGGGCUGAUAGAGGAC